rnacentral:rRNA from 1 species
GGCGAACGGGUGAGUAACACGUGGGUGAUCUGCCCUGCACAUCGGGAUAAGCCUGGGAAACUGGGUCUAAUACCGGAUAGGAGCCAUUUUUAGUGUGAUGGUUGGAAAGUUUUUUCGGUGUAGGAUGAGCUCGCGGCCUAUCAGCUUGUUGGUGGGGUAAUGGCCUACCAAGGCGGCGACGGGUAGCCGGCCUGAGAGGGUGGACGGCCACAUUGGGACUGAGAUACGGCCCAG